rnacentral:rRNA from 1 species
UACGUAGGUGGCAAGCGUUGUCCGGAAUUAUUGGGCGUAAAGCGCGCGCAGGUGGUUUCUUAAGUCUGAUGUGAAAGCCCACGGCUCAACCGUGGAGGGUCAUUGGAAACUGGGGAACUUGAGUGCAGGAGAGAAGAGUGGAAUUCCACGUGUAGCGGUGAAAUGCGUAGAGAUGUGGAGGAACACCAGUGGCGAAGGCGACUCUUUGGCCUGUAACUGACACUGAGGCGCAGAAGCGUGG